GCCAGGCGCAGUGGCACACGCCUGUAAUCCCAGCAGCUCUGGAGGCUGAGGCAGGAGGAUCAGGAGUUCAAAGCCAGCCUCAGCAAAAAGUGAGGCUCUAAGUAACUCAGGGAGACCCUGUCUCUA
rnacentral:sRNA from 1 species